rnacentral:rRNA from 1 species
AGCAGCCGCGGUAAUUCCAGCUCCAAUAGCGUAUAUUAAAGUUGUUGCAGUUAAAAAGCUCGUAGUUGAAUUUCGGGGUCAGUAGGCUGGUCGUGCCACAGGUAUGUACUGGUCUUACUGAUUCCUCCUUCCUGAUGAACCGUAAUGCCAUUAAUUUGGUGUUGCGGGGAAUCUGGACUGUUACUUUGAAAAAAUUAGAGUGUUUAAAGCAGGCUAACGCUUGAAUACAUUAGCAUGGAAUAAUGAAAUAGGACGAUCGAUCCUAUUUUGUUGGUUUCUAGGAUUGACGUAAUGAUUAAUAGGGAUAGUUGGGGGCAUUAGUAUUCAAUUGUCAGAGGUGAAAUUCUUGGAUUUAUUGAAGACUAACUACUGCGAAAGCAUUUGCCAAGGAUGUUUUCAUUAAUCAAGAACGAAAGUUAGGGGAUCGAAGACGAUCAGAUACCGUCGUAGUCUUAACCAUAAACUACGCCGACUAGGGAUCGGAUGAUGUUAAUUUUUAAUGACUCAUUCGGCGCCG